UCUGCCAUCCACCAACCCGCAACCGCGAGGUCAGCAUCCCCGGGAGUCCGCGAGAAUAGAAGAAAAUGAACCAACCACGAGCCAGAAAACAUAUGUGCCCCACGUUUCAGUACGGCUGGCCAGUGCAACUCUUGACCUCUCCAACGAUCCCUUUGAAAGCCGCUUAGCUUUGAUUCAAGAGCUCGGUAUGGACGAGCAGGUGCAGAGGCUUCACCGUGCUGAACUCCUUUAUAAGCAUCUUCGCAAACUCCAAG